UAUUGGUGUGCCUUACAAGGGGGUAAGCGCAAUAGUUGAAACAGUGAAACAAAUGCACGUGCGUUACGUGAUGAGCGUUAACUUAGACCAACCCUACUUGUUGUCGGUGUUUCAUUUAACGUGCAUGAAAGUGUAAUCCC